CCAUAGUGACAAGAAUGGUGAGAUCGACCACCACCGGGAACAGUAUGAAAAUCUAAAAUGGACGCUGGAGAGAAAACUUGAGGAGCUCGACGGUGAGCUUGCUCUACAGAGACAGGAGCUGCUGCUGGAGUUUGAAUCGAAAAUGCGGAAGAGGGAGCACGAAUUCCGUCUGCAGGCUGACAACAUGAGCAACACAGCCUUGUCCCGGGAGCUUAAGGUUAAACUACUGCACAAAGAGCUGGAGGCUCUGAAGGAAGCCGGGGCAAAGGCUGCAGAGAGUCUGCAGAGGGCAGAGGCCACCAACGCCGAGCUGGAGAGGAAGCUCCAGAGCCGAGCCGGGGAGCUCCGGGACCUGGAGGCCAUGAGCUGCGCCCGGUGCGCGAGUCCUUCGUCUCCCGAGGCGUGCUCUGUGGCAGCCUCGCAGGCCAGGACCGGAGUCUGGGGGAUUCUACCUUUUCUGCUCAUUCCAGGCUGGUCUUUGCUUUCAUCUCACUUGCUCCUUCCAUAAAUAUUUGUUUCUUUUCAGGGUAAAGGACUUAGAGGAUAAACUUCACUCUGUGCAGCUAACCAGGAAGAAGGAAGAGGAAACAUUUAAGAGGAAGCAUGAGGAGCUCGACCGUCUGGCCAGGGAGAAGGAUGCGGUGCUGGUGGCGGUGAAGGGAGCCCACGUGGACCAGCUGCAGGAGCUGCAGGCCAGGGUUCUGGAGCUGCAGGCCCACUGCGAGACCCUCGAGGCGCAGCUCCGCAGGGCAGAGUGGAGACAGGCUGACACCGCUAAGGAGAAGGACGCUGCCAU
rnacentral:sRNA from 1 species